GCCCCCUUAGCUCAGUGACAGAGCGAUUCUCUUACAAGGAAUAUGUCGAAAGUUUGAUUCUUUCAGGGGGCA
rnacentral:tRNA from 1 species